rnacentral:tRNA from 1 species
GAUCGGCGAGCACCCGGUAGUGCCGCUGCCAGUUGAGCGGCCAGGGGCAGUUCCAGUCCGGGUCGAUCGC